GGGGGCGGACGGGCGGUCGCCGCGCGCAAGCGGGGAGGAAAGUCCGGACGCCGCAGGGCAUGGCACUCCUUAACGGGGAGCGGGAGAAAUCCCAGGGAAAGUGCAACAGAAAAUAUACCGCCGCAAUUAUUGCGGUAAGGGUGAAAUGGCGAGGUAAGAGCUCACCGGGCGGGCGGCGACGUCCGCCGCUUUGAAAACCCUGCCAGGCGCAAGACCAAAUAGGAAGGCGUGCCCCGAAAGGGGCGGGGACGGCUCGUCUCAGACCUUCGGGUUGGUUGCUUGACCGCGUCGGCAACGGCGCGGCUAGAGGAAUGGCCGCCCCCCUUCGCAAGAAGGGGACAGAAUCCGGCUUAUAGUCCGCCCCCUUUU
rnacentral:RNase_P_RNA from 1 species